AGAGUUUGAUCAUGGCUCAGGACGAACGCUGGCGGCGUGCUUAACACAUGCAAGUCGCGUGCGCAGUUUCCGUAGCAAUACGGGGAUGGGCGCACGGCGCACGGGUGCGUAACACGUGGGCAUCUGCCCUCCGAUGGGGAAUACCCCCGCGAAAGCGGGACUAAUUCCGCAUAACAUUCCUUGGAUUAACUUUCGAGGAUUCAAAGCAGCAAUGCGUCGGAGGAGGAGCCGCGCCCGAUUAGCUAGUUGGUGAGGUAACGGCUCACCAAGGCAAUGAUCGGUAGCUGGUCUGAGAGGAUGGCCAGCCACACUGGAACUGAGACACGGUCCAGACUCCUACGGGAGGCAGCAGUGGGGAAUCUUGCACAAUGGGCGAAAGCCUGAUGCAGCGACGCCACGUGGGGGAUGAAGCUUUUCGGAGUGUAAACCCCUUUCGACUGGGACGAAUGCCUCGCAAGAGGAGUGACGGUACCAGUAUAAGAAGCCCCGGCUAACUACGUGCCAGCAGCCGCGGUAAGACGUAGGGGGCCAGCGUUGUUCGGAAUUACUGGGUGUAAAGGGUUCGUAGGCGGUGUGGCAAGUCGGGAGUGAAAUCUCUGGGCUCAACCCAGAGACUGCUUCCGAAACUGCUGUGCUUGAGUGUGAGAGAGGCUCGUGGAAUUGCAGGUGUAGCGGUGAAAUGCGUAGAUAUCUGCAGGAACACCCGUGGCGAAAGCGGCGAGCUGGAUCACUACUGACGCUGAGGAACGAAAGCUAGGGGAGCAAACAGGAUUAGAUACCCUAGUAGUCC
rnacentral:rRNA from 1 species